AUGCCUCUCCUUCAUGUCAAUAUGCCUUGUCCAUUGCUGUUCUGGUUAGUGUUUAUUGGCUUAUUUCACUGUAGAGCCUCUAGUCCUGCUCAUUAUACCUUAUCCAACCUAUUAGUUCCACCACCCACACAUGCAAUGACAUCUCCUGGUUUCAAUGAUGUUUCUAGAGACAAUAUCUCUCUCUUCAUCACUCAAUACCUAGGUUUACCUCCACUGUAUUCACAUCCUACCUUACCUUUGUCUGUACAUUAUACCUUGAUGCUAUUUUAUCGCCCCCAGAAACCUCCUUUUACUCUCUGUUCCAGACGUUCUAAACGACCAAUUCUUAUCGCUUUUAGCCGCACCCUUAUUCUACUCCUACUCUGUUCAUCUGGCGAUGUAGAGGUGAAUCCAGGCCCUGCAGUGCCUAGCUCCACUCCUAUUCCCCAGGUGCUCUCUUUUGAUGACUUCUGUAACCGUAAUAGCCUUGGUUUCAUGCAUGUUAACAUUAGAAGCCUCCUCCCUAAGUUUGUUCUAUUCACUGCUUUAGCACACUCUGCCAACCCGGAUGUUCUAGCUGUGUCUGAAUCCUGGCUUAGGAAGACCACCAAAAAUUCAGACAUUUUAAUUCCAAACUACAACAUUUUCAGACAAGAUAGAACUGCCAAAGGGGGCGGUGUUGCAAUCUACUGCAAAGAUAGCCUGCAGAGUUCUGUCCUACUAUCCAGGUCUGUACCCAAACAAUUUGAACUUCUACUUUUAAAAAUCCACCUCUCUAAAAACAAGUCUCUCACCGUUGCCGCCUGCUAUAGACCACCCUCUGCCCCCAGCUGUGCUCUGGACACCAUAUGUGAACUGAUUGCCCCCCAUCUAUCUUCAGAGCUUGUGCUGCUAGGCGACCUAAACUGGAACAUGCUUAACACCCCAGCCAUCCUACAAUCUAAACUUGAUGCCCUCAACCUCACACAAAUUAUCAAUGAACCUACCAGGUACCUCCCCAAAGCCUUAAACACGGGCACCCUCAUAGAUAUCAUCCUAACCAACUUGCCCUCUAAAUACACCUCUGCUGUUUUCAACCAAGAUCUCAGCGAUCACUGCCUCAUUGCCUGCAUCCGUAAUGGGUCAGCGGUCAAACGACCUCCACUCAUCACUGUAAAACGCUCCCUGAAACACUUCAGCGAGCAGGCCUUUCUAAUCGACCUGGCCGGGGUAUUCUGGAAGGAUAUUGAUCUCAUCCCGUCAGUAGAGGAUGCCUGGAUAUUUUUUUUAAAUGCCUUCCUAACCAUCUUAAAUAAACAUGGCCCAUUCAAGAAAUUUAGAACCAGGAAUAGAUAUAGCCCUUGGUUCUCCCCAGACCUGACUGCCCUUAACCAACAAAAAAACAUCCUAUGGCGUUCUGCAUUAGCAUCGAACAGCCCCCGUGAUAUGCAGAUGUUCAGGGAAGCUAGAAACCAUUAUACACAGGCAGUUAGAAAAGCCAAGGCUAGCUUUUUCAAGCAGAAAUUUGCUUCCUGCAACACUAACUCAAAAAAGUUCUGGGACACUGUAAAGUCCAUGUAG
rnacentral:lncRNA from 13 species